CGGGGGGAAGGCGUCAGAGUGACUCUCGUCUCUAAAACAGGUAACACCCUUCUGUUAAGAGCACAACCCUCCCAGAAAAAAACUUGCUCCAAAAGAAAGGACGCCAACAAAUGUUGCCCGGCUACAUGUCAUUCUCCCAAGAGACCCAGCCUCAGGAGUCGUGUAGUGUUCUGUCGGUUCAUUCCCAUUCAUCCCUGACCUGAGGAACAAUGAAAAGCCAUCGGGGAAAGUGUUGAUAAUAUUUGGGAGAUAAAGCAGCACAUCAAGACUGAAAGUCAGACGGACAAGACUGAG
ensembl:lncRNA